GAUGAACGCUGGCGGCGUGCCUAAUACAUGCAAGUCGAGCGAACGGACGAGAAGCUUGCUUCUCUGAUGUUAGCGGCGGACGGGUGAGUAACACGUGGAUAACCUACCUAUAAGACUGGGAUAACUUCGGGAAACCGUAGCUAAUACCGGAUAAUAUUUUGAACCGCAUGGUUCAAUAGUGAAAGACGGUCUUGCUGUCACUUAUAGAUGGAUCCGCGCUGCAUUAGCUAGUUGGUAAGGUAACGGCUUACCAAGGCAACGAUGCAUAGCCGACCUGAGAGAGGGAUCGGCCACACUGGAACUGAGACACGGUCCAUACUCCUACGGGAGGCAGCAGUAGGGAAUCUUCCGCAAUAGGCGAAAGCCUGACGGAGCAACGCCGCGUGAGUGAUGAAGGUCUUCGGAUCGUAAAACUCUGUUAUUAGGGAAGAACAUAUGUGUAAGUAACUGUGCACAUCUUGACGGUACCUAAUCAGAAAGCCACGGCUAACUACGUG
rnacentral:rRNA from 1 species